UCACAGUUUGCACUGGCAGUCUUGCUAGAGUUCCCGACUUGACUCGCUGGCAACUAACAACAGGGGUUGCGCUCGUUAUAGGACUUAACCUGACACCUCACGGCACGAGCUGACGACAACCAUGCAGCACCUUGUAAGUGGUCCGAAGAAAUAGCUAUCUCCAGCUAAUGCAACUUACAUUUAAGCCCUGGUAAGGUUCCUCGCGUAUCAUCGAAUUAAACCACAUGCUCCACCGCUUGUGCGGGCCCCCGUCAAUUCCUUUGAGUUUCAGGCUUGCGCCCGUACUCCCCAGGUGGGAUACUUAUCACUUUCGCUUAGCCACUCAGGUAAACCCGAACAGCUAGUAUCCAUCGUUUACGGCGUGGACUAC
rnacentral:misc_RNA from 1 species